rnacentral:lncRNA from 1 species
UUUUUUUAUGUCGAAAUGAAGUCAAUGAACCUUUUGAAUUUAGAAGUAAAUAGCUAUAUUACCUUUUAUUCCGGAAUUAGGUUAAAUAAAAAAUGACUUUUUUAUAAUUGUACUUAACGUAGACAAAAUCUAAUUAACUAAUAAAAUACUCAAGAAAAAAAAAGAUAAAGUUGCAAAAAUAAUCAAAUAGAAAAUGUCUUAUACAAAUAAUGAUAUAGAUUGUUUAUAUUUGAUAUAAAAUUGUAUACUAUACUAUAUUAUAAAUCAUAUUAGUUAUAUUUUGAGUUUUAAGAGGUAUAAAAAAUAAAGUUUUUUGUACAAAUCAAUUAUAUAUAAAAAUUAAUACUUGUCAAAAGUUUGAAGACUUAAAUUAAGAAAGGUUAUUAAGUAAUUUAAUUUGGAGCAAAUUUAUACUUUUAAAAUAUUAAAUUCAUAUAUAUAUAUAUAUAUAUAUANNNNNNNNNUAUAGACAUAAAUAUUUUAUUUAAAACUGAUAAUUUUUUUAUUACAUAAUAUCUAAUAAUUAUUUCUCCGUUGGAAAAUAUCAAUGUCGCUUUGUAUGAAGUACUUAAAUACGAAUACUUUAUAUUUUUAAUAAUAUAGAUUCUUUCACAUUUGACACAAUAAAUAUAAAUUUGUAAAAUACUUAUAAAAUAAUUGUAUAAACAAUGAUAUAAAUUCUUAAAUAUUUGAUUAGAUAAUAGGCACAACUUAGCAAAUUCUAAAUUUCAAAAAUUAAUGUGAUAAACUUAUAUCUUUAUAAAAUAUUUUAAAUAGAUAAACAUAAAUAGAAAAAUAGAAAAAAAAAUAGAAAAAAUAAAAAGUAAAAACGCUUUUACGUUAAAAAUAAUAUAGAAAUAGAUUAAAAAACAAUAAAAAUCGGCACAGACAAUAAUCUUUAUGCUAUAAACAAUUUCAUCUAUAUUUUUAUUUAUUUAUUUAUUUUGAGGAUCCAUAUCUGUGAAACUGUUACCAGACAUCCGGAUAGUCUGAUAUAGACGUGCCCAAAACAACCGGUUCACAAACCGAACCGGUCAGCGAACCGGAAACCGGUUUACCACCGAACCGGUUCAGCCUUGAACCGAACCCCCCAUGAACCGAACCGCCGGACCGGACUAAUUCGCUAUUUUGAUCGUUAGGACCGGUUUCGAACCGGUUUUUUGAUCCGGUUUUGAACCGAUUUUUUGAUCCGGUUUUGAACUUAUUAGCCCAAAAACCAAAAAAAAAACAAAAAAAAAAUAGAAAAGCUUAUUUGCGUCGAACCGGUUUUGAACCGUUUUUGAACCGGUUUUUGCUGAACCAGUUUCUAUUAAACUGAACCGGUUUACAUAUGUUCGAAUAUUUUUUAGGCUGAAGCGGUUUGCAACCGAACUGGUUUUGACUAUUUUGACCGGAACCGAACCGGUUUUCUGAACCGGUCCGGUUAAAGAAAAAAACCAGUUUUUGCAUGCCUAGUCUGAUACCAAAACCAAGUAAAUGGGAAACAACCUCAUUUUUGUUCUACAUAAAUAGGCCAUAAAAUGAAAAUACCACUAGCCAAAACCAAUAGGAUCAUAGAAUCUACUUUAAUAUCAAACAAUAUAUUCUGAGAAUAAUAGUGAGUCCACUUAUAUAUUUCAUGAUGGUUACUUUCCUUCCCUAUGGGCUACGAUGCAACCAUCAAUAAAACUAGAAAAUUCGCCAAAAAUUAUUACAUACAGGGAUGAGCAAAAGGACCGAACCGGCCGGAACCGGAAACCGGCUUCGGCCAAAAUCAAGAACCGAACCGGCCCGGCGGUUCUAUCGGUUCUAGUUCCACCGGUUCCCAGUUCCUACCGGUUCUUGUCGUGUCUUCAAAUGUUAGAACCGGUCCUCGAAAAAUAGCAUCAUACGGUUCCGGUUUUUACCGGUUCUACCGGUUUUUGCCGGUUCUACCGGUUCCGGUUAUAUCGGUUCCGGUUCCAAAAAUCCACAAAAAUAACGUCCCGGUCCUGGCCCGACCGGUUCCAUCGGGUUCCGGUUCCGGUUCCGAUACCGAUUCUGGCCGGUUCCCCGGUCCAUAUGUUCAUCCCUAAUUACAUAUCUUAUAAUCGAUUUAAUAGUUAUAUAUAUUUUUUAUUCAAUUAAGUCCCAAGAACCACUAAUUGUAUUCAAUUUAACCUUUUUACCUGGUUAACAGUUCAUCAAACUUUCAAAAAUUACAUUUUUGGCCCAUAUUUCAAAUUUUAUUAUAAAUUUAGUCCAAAAUUUACACUUUUUGUCUAGAUUUUUAAUUUUAUUACAAAUUUUGUUCAAAAUUUACCCUUUUGACCUAGAUUUCAGAAUUUUGUUAUGAAUUUAUCAUAACUUUAGUUUUUUUACAACAUUUUUUCUCAAAAAAAAAUCGAAUAUAUUUUUUCUUUAAAAAAAUCAUAUUUAUACUAAAAAGAACGUAUUUUCACAUAAAAAUCUUAUAUUUUUUAUAUAAAAACUUUCAUGUAUACGAAAUAUCUAUUUAUAACUUGGAAAUUAACCCAUUUUGAUAAAUUAUUUUGGAUCAAAACAAAAAUAUAACAUUGUGUGGGUUGAAAAAAAGUUGUAUGACGAUAAAUUCUAUUUUUUAAUUUGAAGCCGCACAUUUUUUAUUUGUGAUAAAAAUUCAAAAUGAAUUUUGAAUACGAAUUAUUAUUUUAUAGUAUUAAUUCUUGUAUAUCUAUUAGACAAAACUUCAAAAAUGGUCCCUGUGGUUUUCGAAAAUAUCAAGUUUAGUCCCUAAGUUCAAAAAACCUCACAGAUGGUCCCUGUGGUUUCAAAACUUUUAACAAAUGGUCAUUCCGUCUAACUCUGUUAGCUUUCUACCAUUAAGUGAAGGGCAUUUUCGUCAUUUCAAUACACAGGACCAUUUAUGAGAUUUUCUCUAUUUAAAAAAAAUAUAUAAUUAUUUAAUUAAAGGGCCUCUCUCUCUCUCUCCGUAUACCCCCACCUCCUCCUCCUUUUUCUUUUUACCCAAGAUGAACACUUCAUCUUCUUCCUCUCUUCCUUCAUAAUCAAAAUUCCACAUCUACCUACCAAUCAGUUAUAUUCUGCCUAAUCUCGACGGGAAAGAUGAGCGGGGGGAGGGGAGAAGCCUGCUGGUGGUUGGUUGACACUUACGGUUGGUGUUGCUCGUCGAUACAGAGAGAAAGACGAGGUGGCAACCGGUGUUUUCUUAGCGGAGGUGAUGGCAAGUGGAAGCUGGAGUGGAGGCAAUAGGAGAUGAAAGACUUCAUGAGGAUGAUAAGCUGAUUUGAUUUGCUCUUUUUUCUCAUAAAUUUGACUUAGUUUAUGUCAAUUCCUUUUUUUCGUUAUUGCGGUUGUACGAUUUGGGAAUCUGGUGUUAUCACUUACAAAUUUAGCAUGAUUUAAGGUUUUCUUUUUUGUGAAUUGGGGUUGAGAUUGAUCUAGGUUCGCAUUUCCAGUUGUAGUUAAAAUGUGGGUUUUGAUUUGAUUUUUGUUUUGGAUUCGGAUCUUAUGCUUGUUUUAUUGCAAACCCUAGAAUUCACCCUAAGUUACAUUUAUACGUAUCUGUAUUUUUUUUCUUUUCUAAAGAUAGUUGAUUUUAAGUUAUAAGUUUCUGUGUAAACCCUGAUUUAGAUUUUUAAACUUCAUUAAGUGAUAUCAUUAAUUAGAAAUACUGCAAUCAUGGGGAAUGGAUUUCUUUUGAAGAUGAUAUCGAUGACAAUGUGGAAUCUGUUCAAGUGAGGGAAGGAGAUGAAUGACUUCAUGAGAAUAAAAUAAGUGUUGGGAAUGUGAUGAAUCAACAAAAAGUUGUGAAUGUGGUCUCUUCUUUGGAGAUUAUGGCAGAAGCAGUUCAUACCAAGGGAUCAAGUCUGUCAUCAUCUGAUGAAGUGAGUGAACAGGUAUAUAAUGAGAAAGACGGCGAUGAGGUGGCAACAUCAGUUUCAGAAACAGGUUCUUAUUUUGAAGAACAUGACAGCUUAAUAGAAAGGUCUGAGAUUGAUGUCAUAAUUUUAUCAGUGGAAGAGAGUCACCCAAAAGAACCUGUAUAUGAUACGAGUCCUCGAUCUGAACAUGUUGCUUUGUAACUCUUGUUCUAGUUGAUUGCAGCGACAAAACAAAGGGAAGAAGAGUAGCAGUGAAUCACAAAGGUGUGAAGAUGGGUGGUAGUUUUAUGGUGUUUUGUACUUGAGAGAGAG